GAUGAACGCUGGCGGCGUGCUUAACACAUGCAAGUCGAACGGAAAGGCUCCUGCUUGCUGGGGUACUCGAGUGGCGAACGGGUGAGUAACACGUGGGUGAUCUGCCCUGCACUUCGGGAUAAGCCUGGGAAACUGGGUCUAAUACCGGAUAGGACGAUGGUUUGGAUGCCAUUGUGGAAAGUUUUUUCGGUGUGGGAUGGGCUCGCGGCCUAUCAGCUUGUUGGUGGGGUAUUGGCCUACCAAGGCGUCGACGGGUAGCCGGCCUGAGAGGGUGUACGGCCACAUUGGGACUGAGGUACGGCCCAGACUCCUACGGGAGGCAGCAGUGGGGAAUAUUGCACAAUGGGCGCAAGCCUGAUGCAGCGACGCCGCGUGGGGGAUGACGGCCUUCGGGUUGUAAACUCCUUUCGCUAGGGACGAAGCGCAAGUGACGGUACCUGGAGAAGAAGCACCGGCUAACUACGUG
rnacentral:rRNA from 1 species